CUGCGACAAAAAAACCUACGACGGUUAACCAGCGAUAGGAAAACCGUGCGGCCGCACGUAGGAGCGACGAGUCAUGUUAUCGAGCUAGGUCUCCCUUCGUGGCCGCCCAACAUCCCUGUGCCGCCUCGCUUCAGUCGCCGCCCUACAUCCUCGCCGCCCUACAUCCUCGCCGCCCUCCAUCCUGGUCGACGUCCCCCGCCCCGCAUCACUCGCCUUCCUCCAUCCGCGUCGAUCCUGGACAAGGUCGCCGCUGCCCUCCAUCAAUUCAUCGCCGAGUUGAACAUCUCGACGAUCCGGCGCUGAUCCGGCGCUGGUCCUGGAUUAGGUCGCCGACGCCAUCCAUCACUUCGCCGCCGCGCUGAACUCCUCACCCUUGAUACAGGAUUCGGCGCCUUGAUACAGGAUUCGGCGCUGAUCCUGGACGCGGAUACGCGGACACGUCCAGGACCUGGCCAAAACACGUCCUAGAUCCGAAAAAUAGGUAUACAAACCAUCUCAAACCGGGAGAGAGGGAGGAAGGGAGGAGGAGGGGGAGGCUGCAGCUGCGAGGCUACGAUGGGAGACGUUGGGGAUGCCCACUGGACGUUGGUGUCCUUCUCAACACAAACCCAUGGAGUGCCCAACCCGGAUUGAUGCAGAUUUCUUGGGUGCUGAUUUUGAGUUGUAAAGACUUUGCCACCGAUGACACGCUAUAUGCGGACGCCACAUCCUUUCUUCUGCACGCAGCGCACGACAUUCCGGUUCGUUUAUGUGUGCUUUUCAGUAUUGUACAUGAGGUACCAUGAGGGGUGGUGACCCAGACCUUGCUGGCGUGGCGAAAGAGCCGGUUCCUGUGAUCAGGAUGAUGGAGGCUCUUGGGUCACAGCCCACAUGUCUGCUGGAGAUGGAGUCUCCAUCGUCAUAUGGCUGCUGAGAUGAGUUGCUCAAAUGAUUAAAAUUAUGUUUGCGCUCCAGGUCUAGAUGAGCAAGUUAUAAUCAUAUGGUAGUCUCAAGAAAGUUCAGGACAAGAAGCAUGUUCCACUGAUGUAACGAGACUGGCUGUCUUGCACACACCACAAGUGAAGGUUUUGGAACUCCAUUCGCCAAUAGUAUCAGUGAAUCAAACACUCCAAUCUCUCUGAAUUCUAACCCAGUAAGUUGUGAUUGCAUAUGACACCUUAUUUUUAGUGAUCAUUCUCUAUGGUUUAUUAUUAGUUCUGGAUCAGUUUAUAGUAUAAGUCGUUUAUUAUUCAGUUUUUUUUGUUUCUCUUCAGACUUUAGAUUCUUCAGUUAUCUGAUUCUUACUCCCUUUCGUUCAUUAGUGUUCAUUUUUGAUUCAGUCCUUAGAUUCAUUAUCCUAGAUCAGUUUGUUGGUGCAGCGCUUGCAGUAUUGAGAGGCUUUCUUCUGACAUCUCCUCUUGCAAGUACGAGCUACGUGUGCAGACUGCGUAAGCAUCGAGCGGCGGGCCAUGGACGUGGACAUGGAUUCUGUUUUUUGGUCGCUGUAGCUGAAAGUUGUGUGGUUGUUGCUCCACCGAUAUUAUAAUGGAGCUCCUAAUUGUGAUACAUUAAUUUGCAUUCAAUCACAUAUAAUAUGUCCAAGAUUUUAGCUCCAUGAUCACUCAUCUAACUGUGGUUGUCUGCUUUUUAGCCAAUAUCAAAAUGUUCACUCUCAACUCAGUUUUUCUGGUAGAUGUGCUAGGAUCAAAUGGGUUGUCAUUUCUAAGCUGCAUGGUUUUUAGGCUUUAUAGCUCAUGGAGGUGAAUCUGGAAAUGAUCAUAGUGUCAAUUUAUAUUUUUCUCCUGGAAAUGGGAUUAUCCCCACAACAGUACUUCAUGAACUUUACACUCUUCAUGGUUGCCAGGUGCCAGCAAUAAUUAGGAAAUUAGUAGACCAAUCCUUUUUUAUGGAACUCUAAUCUAGAAGAGGUACUCUUCAAAUUGUGGUGUUACUUGAGUGUUGCGGAUACACAUACAUUUGGGUUAUUUUAAAAAAAUGAGCAUAUGUUUGUCUUAAUGUUAAAUGCAGCUUCCAAAAUAGCUCAUGGUGAUUUCUUAUGUUCUUUACUGAAUUAGCGCUGUAUUUGGACAGUCAAUCUUUCCUGGUCGCUGCUACUUUUAGUGUGGAUAAAGAUAUAUCAAGUUGCCACCUGGCAACGAUGCUUUUUGUCCAUGCUAGCAGUAUGAAUGAUGAAGGAGAAGAGCAGCGAACACAAAUCUUUCUCGCGGCUAUUGAUUUUAUACACAUCGGCUGCAUCAUGUGAUAUGGUAAACCAACAGAGGUAUGUGGAUAAUCCAAGCUGCUUAUUUUCCGUCCGACACUUUAACUCCUUCGGUGACCUGAUUGCUAACAAAAUGUCACAAUAGGUUUUGUUCGAAGUGUCAGUUCAAAAUAUGGUGAUUGAAUUUUUUUAUCUCACGGAUCAUACUUUAAAGUUCAUAAUUUUUAUAAUGCUCUGUAAUGGAGUCCUGUUGGUUGUGUAAUGCUUGAGAGAGUUACAUGUUCUCUCCAUUAACCCCUUUAUUUUUUGCAAAUCAAUUACCUUCUUCAUGUGUUUCAGCUGCUAGGGCUGAAGGCCGAAGUAAUGUAUGGUAAUCAAGCUGUUAAAUAGAGAAUUUGGGAUUUACACAAGCUGUUAUAUUGUUCAAUGCUCCAGCAUGAAGUUGCUCCGCAUGACUCCUUCAUCUUCCCCGAGGCUCUCCUCCUGAAACCCCGCCUUGCCUGAGCCGCUGAGCGAUGUCACUGGGACAGAACUGAUGAGUACGGCUAUUUUGUGACGGGUGACGAGGAGGAAUAUCGUAAUGACUUCAAGAUUCAUGUAUCCAAGAUCAGGAAGCGGAAGCGCCGCCUCAUGCGUGAGCAGGCGUGCGUCCACUCGAGGCCAUUAGGGCCACGCUCACUGGCGACCUAGCUGAUUUCAUCCACGCUCACUCAUGCAUGUAGGGAUUACAUAGUUGCAUGGAGUUAUUUGGUUAGUGGGCUGAGCCGUGCAUGUUGGUUGAGCACCCGAGUCAAGUAGUGGCCGGUUGGCCGGGCCAUCCGCAUCAUGAAGUGACUCUAGGACGUGGCCGUUUUGGCGUGAGUGCAUGGGUCCUUGUGUAUAUAUGUACUGCUUUGCGUGAAAAAAAAAUGUUGGAGCUGAUCGCCAGCUCCUCUUCUUCUUCCUCUAGCUACCUCUCAAAGCUCACGGAAGAACAAAAGAACACAGAUAUUUGGUGGCCGCUGUAUCACACAGCCGACCCUUUUCUCUUCUCUGUAUUUCUCUCCUCAAAGCAAAUAUGCAUACAAGUGCUUAAGUAGACUCACGCUCACGUAGCCGGGCCACACACUCGCCCACUAACUGCAUGCACGCACCCACGCACACCACUAACUAAUGACUUGAUCUUCUCCUAGAAUCACUCUAGGAACCACACGACCCGGCCACUCAUGCAGCAGCAGCUAACAACCUCGGACAUGCAUACACAGCAGCCUCUCGCCACCGUUCGGCAUCUCGCCAUGCGCCAUAUCUCACGGCGCCUCGCAUCUCACCUCCUGCAUGUUCUCCGAAGCUUCACCUGCUACAACUACCUUUAUGCAUGGACAAGCAAACUAAUAUGCAGAUACAUGUGAAUCAAGAUUAAAAAAGCUAACAGUCUCCUCGACCAAGAAAAUGGCUUUGCACAGAGGUCUGCACCCCACUUCAUCAUAACUGUUGCCAAAUCUCUUACUGAUAUAAUUGUCUGUGCUUUUUAUUUUGUUUUAUGGAUCCAGUCUUUGAUCUCAUUUAUGACCGGCUAAGAUCGGUAUCGUUUUUGCGUUCCUAGGUGCUAGAUAAUAUUUUGUGCAGAUUUGAGAGAGAGAUCUGUGUUGGUGAUGAUCAACCCAAUUUAGUGGCAACAAAAUAAUGGUGACAAGCAGUUCAUUUUAGAAUAUACAUAUGAACUGGUGGAAUAGAAAACAAUUUCUUCUAUACAUGGAAAGAAUUCCUUGUACACUUAGUUCCAUAUUCGAGUGCAUUUUCUUGGUGAUGUGCUUCACCUUUUUUUCUUGUACCUGACUAGAAGGGUAAUCAAAAUACUUUUUUGUUUGAGUGUGUUUCCUUCUUCCUUUCCUAUAUAAUUUCUUAUUCCAUUUGGUCCUAUUCGAUUCAGAAUCCUUCCAGCGAACAAGUUGCCCCGCUCAUUCUCAUAAUUGCGUGAAGAUAAACAAAAUGCAUGAAGAACCAAGCAGAUAUAGGAGCGAUGUCAACUCUCCCUGGGUGAACUCCGGUACAGCUCCAGUGUAUGUACAACAGGGCUUCAUGGAGUCGUUCAGUUCAUGUUCAAGACCUGAAGAUAGCAAUGCACUGGAUGACAAGGUUACUCGAUAGAGCGGAUGCUUUCUCUGCUCUAGAUGGUGAAGUCGGCAAAAGAUUGAAUGGCAUGGUUCAUGUCCCUGUAAGUAGUUGUAAUCACUUCCUACUGAUCCAACAUAAUGUUAAAAUUGAUUCACAACACAAAGGGGUAAAGUACAGCUUUUUUCAGUUUCUACAGAUUUAAGGAGUUUUGACUUCCACCUUGGGUGUCAUUAACAAAGUGUUCUUGCUUAGGAUGAGCAAGCUACAAGCCAUAGUACAUUUUACCAAAACACUUCAAGUCUUUAAUGGUGGAGUACAUAUGAAUAAUUAGCAGCCACACUACAUUUUCAUGGGCAUACGUACUUGAACUCUUUUCAUAUGUUAUUCUCAACACCGUGGCUCAUAAAUUUUAUUAGUAAUUAUUAUUCAGAAGGUUUCCUGGUCAGUAAAAGACAUUUGUGAUUCAGAACAUCGAGAGUAUGGAGGGUUUGAGCACAGAAAGAAGUUUCGUUCUGGUUACUACCUUAUGAAUAUAUUUGUAGAUAAUUCGUUUUGCAAGUUUUUGGGCAGGAUUUCCCCACAAUUUGGUCAUGUCAUUUGAGACAAGGACAUCAUACCUUUUGAAUUUGUUGAGUGAACCACAUUGAGAAGUCUUGCCACUGGACAGGCAUCAGGGGACACACUGAGGAGGAGCGGCGCCGCAGGGCCGCCGCCGUCCGGAGCACCUUUGGAGGGAUCCGCGGACAAGAAGUCACCAGGGCUGGCCAUCGUGCUGGAGAAGUGUGGAGGAUGUUAUGGAAAAUGACCAAAAGGCCCAGUUCGGAACACCUGCUGACUGUUUCAGCCCGGGAGUCCAGCCGAAUUGGGAGGCAAGGUCUACGAGAUGAUGAUGAACGCCCUUGGCGGGAGAUGGGGAAGAUCUGAGACAAAUGGAUAACUUGUUUUCUAGAAUGCAUCGCAUAGAUGUGUAAUUUUGAAAUGGCCGCCGAAGAUAUUUCCAUUAUCAGGCUAGACUUGAUUGGAGGGAUAUAACUAAUCUAAGAUUUGUUUGAUUGAGAUCAUGCAUAUAUGAAAUAUUGUAUAUCUCAUACAAC
rnacentral:rRNA from 1 species